GAUGAACGCUGGCGGCGUGCCUAAUACAUGCAAGUCGAACGCACAGCGAAAGGUGCUUGCACCUUUCAAGUGAGUGGCGAACGGGUGAGUAAAACGUGGACAACCUGCCUCAAGGCUGGGGAUAACAUUUGGAAACAGAUGCUAAUACCGAAUAAAACUCAGUGUCGCAUGACACAAAGUUAAAAGGCGCUUUGGCGUCACCUAGAGAUGAUCCGCGGUGGAUGAGUUAGUUGGUGGGGUAAAGGCCUACCAAGACAAUGAUGCAUAGCCGAGUUGAGAGACUGAUCGGCCACAUUGGGACUGAGACACGGCCCAAACUCCUGCGGGAGGCUGCAGUAGGGAAUCUUCCACAAUGGGCGAAAGCCUGAUGGAGCAACGCCGCGUGUGUGAUGAAGGCUUUCGGGUCGUAAAGCACUGUUGUAUGGGAAGAACAGCUAGAAUAGGGAAUGAUUUUAGUUUGACGGUACCAUACCAGAAAGGGACGGCUAAAUACGUGCCAGCCGCCGCGGUAA
rnacentral:rRNA from 1 species